UAUGAGUGAUGAUGUAAAACCCAACCAGAAGUCUCACUGUGUCUCCUCUACUGAGUCGGACAUAAAUGAUGUUUUAAAGGGAGGGGAGUAAAGAAGGAGGAGCAGUGAAACAAUCCUCUUUUUAACCGUUGUGCUCGUUUCAUUUCAGAUGCAUACUCGAGCUGAGUCCGUUUUUGUGUUGUAUCAAGUAUCUGACUGUAUAAAGCAGCAGUUAAACUGAGGACAUAAUGACCACAGGCUUGCUUCUUCUUCUCCUGGUGCUUUCUGGUUCUCAGGCAUCCCAUUACUUUGGGACAGUGAUGACCUUUACCCCUAAAGAAAGCACGGAUGAUGGAUCUCUAAGGGUGGUCUUUGACUACAAGUUGAGCUUUCGCUCAUGCACAGAUGAAGACAAGUGGAAAUGUGCCAGCGGUGACUGUGGUAGUGAGAGUGUGGAGCUGAACAUCGUGGAUGAAGAGGACAGAGAGUGGUGUCAGAGGGAAGGAGUCAUGACUCGGGAGGUUUCCAGCAACUCUCUGUUUCAGCUAAGUUUGGCUGGUGGUAACUGGAUUAACAACAAAAAUGGUAUUGGUAACUGGAAAGCUAUAACUCAGGUGGAUCUGAGGACUCGAUCUGACACAGCUCAACCCAACAAAUCACCUCAGACCACCAUCCUGCCAGCUCUGAGAGUUCCUUCAAACUGUAAGAGAGAAUUCAGCCUGUUGGCCUUUGAUCCUGAUGGAGACGAGGUUCAAUGCAGAUAUGGAGACACAGCAGCAGAUGAGUGUAAUCCUUGUACACCACCAUCUCUUCUAACCAUCACACCAUCUUGCAAACUGACCUUUCAUUCUGCGAGUAGGAGUGAUGAAGGUGCAUAUGCAAUACAGCUCGAGAUGGAGGACUUUCCCAAGCAGACCAUCUUUCUCCAUCAAAGUGAUGAUGUGGAGACAACAAGGACUCCCAGUGAUGCUCUCAGCAAAAUACCAAUCAGAUUUGGUCUAAUAGUGGACCCGCCUGUGCCAUCCUGUUCAGAGGGAGCCUACCUGCCCAAGUUUCUGCCUCCAACCCCCGUCAGUGGGGCUCAGCUGUUGGCCUAUAUUAAUGAAACAUUGAAUAUUACAAUUAUGGCCGAGGCAACCAACACCAUGGUUUCAAAGCUUUUGUUCAGUGGACCACACAGCGUUGUGAAACAUGUUGUAUCACAUGGAGAAUUCAUCCUGACCUGGACACCAUCUGACAGUGAAGAUGAAGAAAACCAUCCCAUCUGCUUCGUACUCCAGGCAGAGUUAAAUACAGCCAAGUAUCACUCUGAGCUACGCUGUGUGAUUGUGAGCAUUCAAAUUAGACCAAUCACCACUCCUCUGCCAACAACUGUUCUGCCUUCAACCACCCCAGAACAUACAACCACUCUUCUGUUCAUAAAUGAAACAGAAGAUCUGAACGAGGUGCUAUAUGAGUCCACAGGAUCAGGUGACGACAGCAUGGGUGCUGGCAAAGUUGUUGGUAUUGUAUUUGGUGUUGGAGCCGUCGCAGCCAUUGUUGGCAUUGCCUUGUGGGCUUUAAAUCGAAGUUCUCCUGUGCUCUAAAAAAGUUGGAGCUUUGGAUGAAGAUGGGGAAAACAAACCUGUAGAAUCUGGAAAUCACUGGUCUUCUAGCUACUUUCAGCUGCUCGCUUCUUGCGUCCCAUUCCAAUUUCUACAAAUGUAAAUGUUAAAUAAUGCAGGUCUGCAUUUUACUGUCAAAGCCUCACAUAAAUGGUCAAUGAACUGUUUUGAGUCUUUGGCUCCAUCUGUUGGUGAAAUGAUGGCAUUAAUGUACAAGGUUGUUCAUUAAAGCUACAGGCAGACUCCCCCAUGCAGGUGACUCUGUUUUAUCAGAGAAAAAUUUAAAUACUGGCAAAAGGAAAUAUCUACAGAGACAACAUGUGAAAGUAAAACAUCAUGCGUGAGAGCUAAAAACCUCAAAAAAUAUGAAAAUUUUCAACCAACAUGGUACAAAAUGUAGUGUUGUAAGAGGGCGGGUAUUUCUCACCACUGUGGUUUUUUCGUUAGUCGAUCUUCGCUGACAACAUUUUUAUGUUGGACAUUCUAAACCAUAAUCCUAAUCCCAAAUUGGCUCACAGUUGUUAAAAAAAAUAAACAAUAAAAAAAUUAUUUUAUUUACGAUACCAGAUACCAGCUCUCCCUCCACUCACCCCUAAUUGAUUGCAGCAAUGGGAAGCCCUCCCAGAGCCUGGAUCUGCUGGAGGUUUCUUCCUGUUAAAAACAUGUUUUUCUUUCCACUUUCACCAAGUGCUUGCUCAUAAGGGGUCAUCUGAUUGUUGGGGUUUAUCUGUAUUAUUGUAGGGUCUCUACCUUACACACCUUGAGGCACCUGUUCUUGUGAUGCUAUAUAAAUAAAAAUGAAUUGAACUGAACAGAAUACCAGAUCAUAUUAGAUGUUUGAAAUGAGGAAAUGAACCAUUUCAUGUUGGCCUUAACAAGAUCUUUCUAUUCCCUGUGUGAACUUCUUUGUCAUUUUUUUGGAUUUGUUAUCGGUAUCUCUUUAAAAAAAAAUACACAGAUAAUUUUGGAUUUUGGAUUCUCAGCUGAUUAACACAUUUACAUGUUAUGGCAACAUUGAUGUCUGUCAGUAUCCUAAGACUCACAGUAGUCCCUGUUGAACUGUUAUCAACAGGAGCUUUUCAUUUAGCAACUCCUUGACUGCAUUUUAUGACAAUGACCUUUGAAUCUAUGUUAUUGGUUUCCUUAUUUAUUCAGUGUUCAGUGC
ensembl:lncRNA